GCCAGGUGCAGUGGCACGCACCUGUAAUCCCAGCUACUCAGGAGGCUGAGGCAGGAGGUCAGCAAGUUGGGAGACCUUGUCUCAA
rnacentral:sRNA from 1 species